UGGUUCUGGCAUCGAUGAAGAACGCAGCGAAAUGCGAUAAGUAAUGUGAAUUGCAGAAUUCAGUGAAUCAUCGAAUCUUUGAACGCACAUUGCGCCCCUUGGCAUUCCGAGGGGCAUGCCUGUCCGAGCGUCAUUACACCCUUCCAGCCUGGCUGGGUGAUGGGUUCCGUCCCCCCUCCCGGGGGGGGACAGACCUGAAAGGCAGCGGCGGUCCCGAGGGUCCCCCCAAGCGAGAAGACUCACUGUGCGGGGGAUCCCCGGCGGACUGACCUUGUUGGCGCGCUCCAUCCAGCGCCCAUUUUCACAGGUUGACCUCGGAUCAGGUAGGGAUACCCGCUGA
rnacentral:misc_RNA from 1 species